rnacentral:pre_miRNA from 1 species
UACCCCCCUCCAGGGUAAGUGGAAAGUCAGUGGACCCCAGAACAUGUGCUGAAUUUGUGCCAUGUCUGUGGACCACCCGCCUGUCUUGAGGAGACCCCUGUCACGAG